rnacentral:rRNA from 1 species
AACGCGAAGAACCUUACCUGGGCUCGAAAUGCUCGUGACCAUCUUGAGAAAUCUAGACUUCCCGCAAGGGACACGAGUAUAGGUGCUGCAUGGCUGUCGUCAGCUCGUGCCGUGAGGUGUUGGGUUAAGUCCCGCAACGAGCGCAACCCUUACACUUAGUUGCUACCCGCAAGGGAGAACUCUAGGUGGACUGCUCCGGAUAACGGAGAGGAAGGUGGGGAUGACGUCAAGUCAGCACGGCCUUUAUGUCCAGGGCUACACACGUGUUACAAUGCGCGGCACAAACUGUUGCAAACCCGCGAGGGGGAGCUAAUCGGAAAAAACCGCGCUCAGUUCGGAUUGCAGUCUGCAACUCGACUGCAUGAAGCUGGAAUCGCUAGUAAUGGCGCAUCAGAUCGGCGCCGUGAAUACGUUCCCGGGCCUUGUA